rnacentral:misc_RNA from 1 species
ACGAGAUCGAUUCGGGACUGUGCUGGCGCAAGCAACGUGCACGUCCCUUCUCAUCCACACACACCCGUGCACUCGUGGGGCGGCGCUCUCGAACGAAGCCGCCCAUUUUUCACACACGCCGUCGUCGUUUGGGAAUGUAGUCUUUUAUGAAAUAAAUA